CAGAAAACCAGAAGACCUGUCUGGAGGCUGAGGUGGUUGGAGAUUAAGGUGUGGAGGUUCGGACUUCGGGUCAGGACAGGUCUCAGGUCUGGGUUCUGGGUAACUAACCGAGGACAAGGUAGUUGCAGGCUAGCAUUUGGAGGUGGAGGGCUGCUCUGGUUCCAGGUUUUAGGUUGUAAAUAAAAUCCCUUU